UACGAAGGGUGCAAGCGUUAAUCGGAAUUACUGGGCGUAAAGGGUGCGUAGGCGGUUCGUUAAGUCUGUCGUGAAAUCCCCGGGCUCAACCUGGGAAUGGCGAUGGAUACUGGCGAGCUAGAGUGUGUCAGAGGAUGGUGGAAUUCCCGGUGUAGCGGUGAAAUGCGUAGAGAUCGGGAGGAACAUCAGUGGCGAAAGCGGCCAUCUGGGACAACACUGACGCUGAAGCACGAAAGCGUGGGGAGCAAACAGG
rnacentral:rRNA from 1 species